rnacentral:lncRNA from 1 species
GGGGAACCGGCCAGGCAGAGACAACAUGGGCGGUUCGUUGCUCCAGAGCCUUUCCGUUCACCUUCACACUCCUGGGCCAGACUACACUCAAUCAGAGGACCCACUGAAGAGAUGAGAUGAGUCUUCAGUAAAGACUUAAAGGUUGAGACCGAGUCUGCAUCUUUCACAUGGGUAGGCAGACCAUUCCAUAAAAAUUGAGCUCUAUAGGAGAAAGCCCUGCCAACAACACAAUGCAAUUGUUUUCAACCUGACAGAAUAAUCGACCAUUAAGGGAGACAGCGGGACUGGCCCGUCCGAUGAUGCUGCGACUGGUCCGUCCGGCACCGCCUCAACUUCGGCAGCUGCAACUGGGUCGUCCGACGUCGCCACAACGGGUCCGUCUGACGACACAACUUCCGCAGCUACAACCGGCCCGUCCGACGGCACUGCUACUGGCCCGUCCGAUGCUGCCGCAACUUGAUCGACCCGCACUGCGUUCCUGUGAUCGUCCUCGAGGCGAGAAGUUGUCAGGGACGAGAUCAAGUCCAGACUCAUCGUGGAGAAGAAACCUUAAGCAUACAACCAUGCCGACAACCAUCCGUGAAGUGGACAAAGGGCUGGACAACGGGCCGCACUGAAAAAAACGCAUGGUUCCCAAGAAAGCGGCCACUGUAAUUGAUGAGGGCUCAGGGCAAUACCAUUCUGCUCACCUGAUGAAGGUGCACAUGGAUCAGAUUCAAACUUUGAAGACCGAGAUCGAGUCAAUGAAGGCAGACCAGCAGAAAGAGAAACAUUCUCUGAGGGCAGAGAUACGGGCGACAGCUGAUGCAUUGGUCCAGAGCCAGGCGGUAUUGGCGGAGAGUCAGGCACACCUGUGAGCUCUGGAACUCCACCUCCGACAGGCAGAGUCAACAUAUGUGUGUUCUCUUGUUUUGUGCUGUUCUGUAGUUUCGACCCAAUGAUUCGUCUGACAAACAAGGACCUUUGUGUACUGCAGGCCCAGGCAUGUAGCUCAGGAACUGAAGCAAGGAUAUUCAUAUUCUUGAUACCAUUUGAAAGGAAACACUUUGAAGUUUGUGGAAAUGUGAAAUGAAUGUAGGAGAAUAUAACACAUUAGAUUUGGUAAAAGAUAAUACAAAGAAAACACCAUGCAUUUUGUGCAUUUUUUUUGUACCACCAUCUUUGAAAUGCAAGAGAAAGGCAAUGUAUUAUUCCAGACAAGGCGCAAUUUAGAUUUUGGCCACUAGAUGGCAGCAGUGUGUUUGCAAAGUUUUAGGCUGAUCCAAUGAGCCAUUGCAAUUCUGUUCAAAAUGUUUUGUCAAGACUGCCCAAAUGUGCCUAAUUGGUUUAUUAAUAUACUUUACAGUUCAUAACUGUGCACUCUCCUCAAACAAUAGCAUGAUAUUCUUUCACUGUAAUAGCUACUAUUGGACAGUGCAUUUAGAUUAACAAGAAUUUAAGCUUUCUGCCAAUAUCAGAUAUGUCUAUGUCCUGGGAAAUGUUCUUGUUAAUCACAUUAGCCUACGUUAGCUCAACCGUCCCGUAGGGGACCCACCAAUCCUGUAGAGUGUGUGUGUGUGUGUAUAUAUAUAUAUGAGAGAGAGGAUCGAAACACACACAGAGACACGUGCAAUAUAGCAAUAAGAACGUCAGUUUAAUAUGCAGUGCAGAUCAGCUCCUAUUACCCUUCUCAGAGUUUUAAGAAUUGUGUGUGUUCAAUUAUUUGUGAAAUUGUGGCAUUUAAAGCAUAUUGAAGAUAGAAGCAAUAGGAUUUGAAGCAAUAGCCUACCUGCGUGUGGUCAACUAUUUCAGCACCGUUUCACGCCGCUCUGAGACAAGCAUGGGGACUGGUCUUGAUAAAUCAAUGAGACAUUUAUUUUCACUGAAUCUCCGUUUGAGUAUUGGUUAGACUACAAUCAGGGGGUGGAAAUGUUAGGAUUAUUUUGCUCUUAGUAGCCUACUCCCGACCGGUCACCUUGUACUGCGCCAUAUUUUCUUGGAAUUUUUCUUGGAAUAGAAACACCAUAAUAUUAAUCAAAUUAAUGAAGCUACAUUUCUUAAAAUCAAUCCCAUAUACUAUGUUACAAGAAGAACCACUGUAUGUGUUAUUCAUAGUUUUGAUGUCGUCACUAUUAUUCUACAAUUAAGAAAAUAGUAAAAAUAAAGAAAAACCCUUGAAUGAGUAGGUGUGUUCAAACUUUUGACUGGUACUAUAUAUAUACAGUGCCUUGCGAAAGUAUUCGGCCCCCUUGAACUUUUCGACCUUUUGCCACAUUUCAGGCUUCAAACAUAAAGAUAUAAAACUGUAAUUUUUUGUGAAGAAUCAACAACAAGUGGGACACAAUCAUGAAGUGGAAUGA